rnacentral:rRNA from 1 species
UACGUAGGGUGCAAGCGUUGUCCGGAAUUAUUGGGCGUAAAGAGCUCGUAGGCGGUCUGUCGCGUCGGCUGUGAAAACUCGGGGCUCAACCCCGAGCCUGCAGUCGAUACGGGCAGACUAGAGUGCGGUAGGGGAGACUGGAAUUCCUGGUGUAGCGGUGGAAUGCGCAGAUAUCAGGAGGAACACCGAUGGCGAAGGCAGGUCUCUGGGCCAUUACUGACACUGAGAAGCGAAAGCAUGGGGAGCGAACAGG